GCUACCUCUGCUUGCGGGCGGCAGCAGAAAGCCCGUCAUCUCGGCGCUUUCCCUUAACCGAGUCGCUCUGCUUUUUCAUAUUCUUCUGGCGGGCGAGCUCGCGCUGGUUACCGCCUAAAGAAAGAAGGUAAAAGGAAAAUCCAACAAAAGGCCACAGAUGUCAUCUGAGAAGAAAAGGAACCCUGGGAGACCAGCUUUACCAAUUACCAUAACUGUUUAUCAAAUUAGCAAAUUGUCACCCAGAGAAGCAGAGAGCCCUGAGGAGAUGGACAGCCCCGCGGUACAUAGUUGCAUAUUUUUAGUUGUGGGUCCU